rnacentral:lncRNA from 1 species
AGAGGAUGGGCCAGGGUAUUUAUUUGUAUUAAAAGUGGGAUAUGGCGCUGCCUUCAGCUUAACGUUUGGGGGAACGUCCGCACUUCGGCAGGGGCAGAAGCUUGACCAUCUGUCUGCCUACUUUUGCUUCUGUAGAGCCACGGACUAAGUACCUAGAGGUGAAACAGCACAUGCCAUCAAAAGAUUCAGUUUUUGGAAGUCAUCUCUGAUCUAUGUAAGUACAGAAUGACUUCUGCAAAGCGCUCUGUAUCUUGUUACCAUCUGGACCUAUUACCUCACCUAGUUAAAGCAGGCUAACAAGGCCAAGGUCAUGGAUUCAAACCCCAUAUGAUCCAGUUUACUUCGCACUGGGAAGAAAUUUCUUUUGUGG